AUGGUCACAUCAUAUUGAGACACUAGUUUCUGUAUGAUCACUGAAGUUAAGCAACGUUGAGCUUAGUCAGUACUUAGAUGGGUGGCAGCUUAGGAAUAACAGGUGUUGUAAG